rnacentral:lncRNA from 1 species
UUUUUUUUUUUUUUUUUUUUUUUGUGGACUACCGCUUCAACUUUAUGCAUGGUUUCUUCCACAAUCAUAAUGACACCCUCAAAUUCUACCUGAUUUUUCAAUCAUGCCUCCCUCAAUUACUCCUGAAAGAUGGUGCAUAUUACUACUAGUAUUUUUUACCAUCACCAUUUUCAAAAAGAUUCCUGUUCUUUUUUUUUUUUAAAGUCAAAACACUUACAAGACAAAUUGGGACAAAUUUACAACAUGUAAUCAUUAGCAAGACUUUUAAAUUCUUCUCAUAUCUGCAGUUUAAAUUCUUUUCACAGAAGUCUCAAGUGUUGCAGAUGCGUUUCUUUGUCCUCUUCUUUACCACAGCUUUCUCCAUGUGAAAGAAAAGGCUAAAUGCGUUGAAAGUUUCAUGGACAUGGACCAUCAACAACUUUGCAAAAAUUGAUUCUUUUCUUCCUCAAAACAACUGGCAAAUUCACCAAGCACGCCAUCACUCCAAAAACUUUCUAACCAAACAAGUAUGGAGAAAAACAACUGGCAAUUCACCAUCGGAAUAAAGAAGUCCCAAAAAGUUUGUGUCCCAAAAAUUAAUGCCCUGAUCUAUCCAGUCUCAGGAGCAUAUGGGGUCCCAAUAUUUCCUUUACCAAACUCGAAUUCCAUCUUAAAGCGCCUUGACGGCAGUCACAUUCGGAAACCAAACAUUAUCAAUUUAAGGAAGAAAUCAAGAAAGUGACAAUAGCCACGAAGGCGGAUGGCAAUUGAAUUCAAAUCAAGUGUUGAAAAAUUGCGAUGUGAACUAUAAAAAUAUUAGGUGCGACGUGCCCAUUAUGUGGUAAUAUUACGUGAUGCACUAGUAUUAAUAAAAAUUCAUAGCAUUAACCUGUCUGAAAAACACUUACGAUUAUUAUUUGAUGACAGAUGAUUAGUUUUAGUGCACCACACGUGAGCUAGCGAGUAUGGUCUUAGUAAUAGCCUCUCCGUCAAUCAUACUAGCUUAGCUGAGGACAUGGUACAGUACGAGCAGAAUGGAGAAGAAAAUGGUUGUUUGACGGAGUGCAAGUGACAAAAUUUGGGGCAGAAAUAACAGAAGGGAAGUGUAGUCAUGAACAUCUAUCACUUCACCUUCCAAAAAGCUAGGACAGAGACAGGAGAGAGGUGAUGCAUGCACCAAAUCAAGUCAUCAUUCAACCAAUUCAACAGGAAAGGUUGCUCAAAAUCUUGAAAACCUUAGGCGGUGAACCAUCAAGAGACAAGACGCGUGAAGAAAGAAACAUGGCUGGAGAUUAGGACUAAAACUUAC